rnacentral:rRNA from 1 species
UACAGAGGGUGCUAGCGUUGUUCGGAAUCAUUGGGCGUAAAGGGCGUGUAGGCGGUUUGUUAAGUCAUGUGUGAAAUCGCCCGGCUCAACUGGGCGGGGUCAGCGGAUACGGUCGAGCUUGAGUAAGCUAGGGGGUAAUGGAAUUCCCGGUGUAGUGGUGGAAUGCGUAGAUAUCGGGAGGAACACCAGUGGCGAAGGCGGUUACCUGGGGCUUUGCUGACGCUGAUGCGCGAAAGCGUGGGGAGCGAUCCGG